GACGAACGCUGGCGGCGCGCUUAACACAUGCAAGUCGAACGGAAAGGCCUGCUUUCCCUUGUGGAUUGCGGGUACUCGAGUGGCGAACGGGUGGGUAACACGUGAGUGAUCUGCCCCCAACUUGGGUAUAAGCCUGGGAAACUGGGUCUAAUUCCCGAUAGGACUGCAGGGUGGUGCCUGUGGUGGAAAACGAUUUUCUAGUGGUUGGGGAUGAGCUCGCGGCCUAUCAGCUUGUUGGUGGGGUAAUGGCCUACCAAGGCGGCGACGGAUAGCCGGCCUGGGAGGGUGGACGGCGACAUUGGGACUGAGAUACGGCCCAGACUCCUACGGGAGGCAGCAGUGGGGAAUAUUGCACAAUGGGCGGAAGCCUGAUGCAGCGACGCCGCGUGGGGGAUGACGGCCUUCGGGUUGUAAACUCCUUUCGACCGCGAGGAAGCCACCUGGUUGGAAGGGUGGUGACGGUAGUGGUAGAAGAAGCACCGGCUAACUACGUG
rnacentral:rRNA from 1 species